rnacentral:lncRNA from 1 species
UUCAGGUCCUCCACUCGACGACCUUGAAAAUGUUGUCCCACAACGGGGUGAGAUAUCAUCUUAGCGAGUCUAAGCUCUAAACCCCCAAUUAGGAGGGAAAUACGCCAAGAAGCGUCCUAAGCACACAAUCACACAAUCAAGAGACUUACCUCAUCUCAGACCCACCCUGCAGGUCAGUACAAUUUAUCUCACAAACAACAUGAGAGCAUGAGCAACAAAUAAGCUCCAAUAACUGAAACGCCACACUCAAUUAAUCAUGCGUUCUUAGUUUUGAUCUCGGCAUAUAGCACGGCCUACUCUCAGUUCGGCGGUCUUCUGGCAUUGCCAGGCUUUGUCUCACCCCAUUGAGCACGGCACGUCUCUUUAUUAGACGGCUUUCCCGAAGGAGCAUAGGGUCCAGAAUCAACUGCGACCGGCUUCCCGUUGUCCAGGGGGUAUCCCACAUUGGGAUAACGUCCAGCUCAACAGCCCGGGACGAUUUCUCAUAACCAUCACACGAUCACUCAAAUAUGGCCCAGGACACCGUGCAUUGCACUCAAAUGCUUCAAUUAAAAUGGUGAGCCUGGCCUUUUUCUUCGUAUUAGAAAUUCACAUGAAAUUACUCGUGUGUGGGUACACGGUCAACUUGAUCCAGAAAAAUUGAUAUUCCUCCUUUUUGAAAUCCCACUAUUUCAUAUAGUACUAAAAACCAUUUUCGGUAUCAAAACCCGACACCUGGGAUUUUAUGAAUAAAUAUUGGAAAUUCACAAUUUUGGAAUUAAAUACCAAAAAUCCAAUCAGCACCCAAUUUGCAUAACUUAGCACUCAAUUGCAGAAAUUAACCACACCAUUGCAAUCAGCACGAAAUUCCGGUCACUGGCUAUCCCGGUCUAAUUUCCGGAAAAAUAAUUAAUAAUUAAAUAAUUACUGAAAUCAAUUAAAUAAAUCAAUUUAAAUUCUACAAAUAAUAACCUAGGCCAAAAUCAUUGAAUUAAUAACCAAUACGGACUCGGAGAAAUUCCCGAACCCUUCUAGAUAAACAGUACAAUUUAUUUAGGCCUUAGCUAAACCAUGCUAACCACCUAACAUGUUGAAUUAAAUAAUUACAUUUCUAAUUUAAUCUAACUAACCACCUAAUUCCUAAUAAAAUAAAUCUAAACACCCCUUAAACGUCAUUAACCUACUAAGCAGAGUUUAGAGUAUAAACUCACCGGUGUAUCGCGAAAAACCGGUUCACCGCGACAACGACUCAACGGCGGCCGAAAUCGGGCUUUCGACAACACCGGCGGACUUGGACCGGGCCUUGACCUUGGCCCAAAAAAUCUCAGCCCAAAUGAGAUUUGUUCUUGCACUGGAAUGGGCUUGCUCUUGGACUUGGGCCUAGCUGCGAUUGGGCUUCAAAAACUGGGCUUGAAGGCUACAAUUGCUGAAAAUAGGCUGGGCCCAAAGCUGAAACUAAAACUUGCUGGGCUUCAUUGGAUUGGGCUUCAAGAGGGCUGAACAAUUUGCUGGCCUUGCUGGGCUUUGGAGCUAAAUUUGCUGGGCCUAACUUGUGGCCCAAAAGAAAUUCACUAGGCUGGAAUUUGCGUGGACUUCAAGUGGUCCAGCUGCUGGGCCGAACAAGGGAAUCCGCAAGAGACGCUGGGCUGCUGGAUCCGUGGUUUCGUUCUUCACGCUAACUGAACGAAAGAAAUGGCGAGGGCUUUUGCGGUCAACCAAGCAGCUUCGGUUGCUGCCGCUGUUGACCGAGCCAAGAGCAGACUCGGACGCGUGGAGACUUCCUCCUUCGGUGGUGCUGGCGAGCUGGAGAGAGGGUGCGGCUUCAGCUGAAGACGUGAGUUGAGGAAGACGCGGCAGGAUUCGCUGGGAACGUAGACUGCUGUGGGCGGAACAUGAAGUCACGCUGGUGGAGGCCACGCGUUGAGAAGAAACGGACGAUAGCAGGAGCUUCAACGAUGCUGGAGCGGCAGACACGGUGGAGUCUUCGGUCAGCAAGGCUUCACGAAAAUUGAAGCCGCGUGGAGCUCGAGUCUUUGUGGGCAGAAGGCGCAAGAAGAUAGUGGAGAAACAGGCGGUCUUGACUUCGUGCGGUGAGGAUCUUCAGUCAACGACGGGGCUUCUUCUGGUUUCGUUGUUGACCGAGCGUGAGCUGGCUGAAGACACGAAGCGGUGGAGAAUUCGGCGGAUGCUGAGCUUCUCGGGCAGUUUGGUGGACGCUCGGCAGAAGACACGGAUGGAGAAGCAGCGUCAGUUUCUCUCUUCCGCUGGCUGAGGUCGUCCAAUGGAGCGGUAGAGGGGAGAGAGAGAUGGAUAAGAGUGAGAAGUGAGGGCUCCACAAAGCCUUGAUUUUUCACAACAAAUAUCUUUCAAGGCUAUCCUAAGCCAAGUAUAAUCCCAUGGCCUCCAAUGAUCCACCAAGACCCUCUCCAAGACUUUCCAAUUGGUCCAAAAUGGCUAGGAGGGAGGGGGCUAC